rnacentral:lncRNA from 1 species
UUCGCUCUUCAUGAACUUGCCUCAUGCACCUCAGGUGGAGAAAAUGUUGGCGUUCAGUGUUAUGACUCCAUACUACAGCGAGGAAGUUGUAUACAGCAAAGAACAGCUCCGAAAUGAGACUGAGGAUGGGAUUUCAACCUUGUAUUACCUGCAGACGAUUUAUGCCGACGAAUGGAAAAAUUUUAAGGAACGGAUGCGUAGGGAAGGUAUAAAGACAGAUGUUGAGUUGUGGACAACCAAGCUGAGAGAGCUCAGGCUUUGGGCUUCCUACAGAGGUCAGACUUUGGCACGUACAGUUCGAGGAAUGAUGUACUAUUACAGGGCUCUUAAGAUGCUUGCUUUUCUCGACUCUGCGUCUGAAAUGGACAUUCGGGAGGAUGCUCAGGAGCUUGGUUCAAUGAGGAGUUCGCAGGGAAAUCGAUUGGAUGGUGUUGACGAUGUAAAUGACCGAUCUUCUCUAAGCAGAGCAACUAGCUCUGUGAGCAUGCUGUAUAAAGGCCAUGAGCAUGGGACUGCAUUGAUGAAAUUCACAUAUGUCGUGGCGUGCCAAAUCUAUGGGUCUCAAAAAGCGAAGAAAGAGCCUCAGGCAGAGGAAAUUCUGUAUCUUAUGAAGCAAAACGAAGCCCUUCGUAUUGCAUAUGUGGAUGAGGUACAUGCGGGCAGGGGAGAGACUGAGUAUUACUCCGUUCUGGUGAAAUACGAUCACACGUUGGAGAGGGAAGUGGAGAUAUUCCGUGUGAAGCUACCUGGUCCGGUGAAGCUGGGUGAGGGAAAGCCAGAGAACCAGAAUCAUGCAAUGAUCUUUACCCGUGGUGAUGCUGUUCAGACCAUAGAUAUGAACCAGGAUAAUUAUUUUGAGGAGGCUCUCAAGAUGAGAAAUUUGAAUAACAAAGAAUGUAGCCCAAACGGAAACAGAAUAAAUGAAACGCGGUAAAGUGAACAGAUGUCACAUAAUGAUUGGCUGAUUUAAUUGUCCUACGUGGACAGCUUCUCUGAUGCUCAUAUAACCCUUUUAGUAUAGGUUAGAUGAUAUCAUCCUUAGUCAAAAGUCAAAACAUCUCAAAUUAAAUAAGUAUAGAGUUGUGAAUUUUUAAAAAAGUAUAGAGUAUAUAAAAUUAGCAUUUGCGAAUGUUUUUAAAAGUUUGGCGUUUGUAUGGAUCACUGUCAGUGUCAUGAAUCAUUCGGUGACUGCAAAAUUUUAUAUGACAAAAAAAAAAGAGAGUUGAUACUUACCAUUCUCGAUAUUUUGAAAUUUUUUUCGUCGUUAAUACAAACUCAACAUUUUCGAAAUCUUGGAUUAAAAAAAAAAAAUAUGGACAAAACGGUACUUAUUAAUUAAUUAUGUACUAGCGUCUUGACAUUAUUAAUAUAGAUAUAAUUAUAAGAACAAGAAACGUAUAUGCACAAACCCUCAAACCAAAUUUAAAUAGUGUUAAAAAACAAGGGAUGUACUUGUUAUGAAAAAUUAAUAUAUAACCAUUCUUAACAUUUUUACCUAACCCUUAAACUUUAUAAAUAAAAAUACGUAAUAUCCCGAUAGAAAUAUUUUAAAAUUUUGAUUUGAUUAUUUAUGUUAUCAAAGUGCAUUUAUUUUUUUUUGUCACGUAUAUAUUUAAAAUUUCAACAUUAAAAGUGUGUAAGAUGGAGUAGUGAAAAUAUAGACGACUUACCAUAAAAUUAUUUGUGAUAUCAUUUGAAUAAGACUAAAACACGGACAAAAAUAAUAUAGUGAUUGCAUUGUUAUUAAACAAUUAUUUGGAUUUGAAAAGAAAUAACUCAUUGAAUGAAGCCUAUGAGCCGAGUAAACGGACGUGGAUAGCUUAAGCGGUUGGACCGUACAAAAUUUAUGACCAACAAGAAAAUGAAAUUGAUUUUUUUUUUGACGAAAAAAUGAAAUUGAUUUUAGAAAGUAACAAAAUGGUUCCAGAUUUCAAUACUUCAACGUUUUUUUAUGCCGACUUUCUUUUCCUCUUUUACUUACAUGAUAAGGAAACGAGAGAGGUUGAAGAAACAAAGAAACUUCCUAAGCAUUUAGAAAUGUAUCUUCAAAAAAUCUAGUAUUUACCAAGUAAAAUCAUUCAAAAUAAGGAAAAAAAGAAGAAUCUAUUUCCCAAUUUGGUUUUCACCGAAAAAAAAAUUGUCUUAAUAAAAUCUUAAUGCACCAAAUCAUAUAAGAACUUUAUAUGACCAUUGUCAUUAGUUUUUUCUUUAUGGUAAUGGAUCUUCAAAUAAUUUAAAUUAAAUUAAAAAAAAAAAAGAGAAACAAAAACGCGGAAAGGAGAGCCCAAAUCGUCUCCGUCUGUCAUUGUCGCAGUCUCUCACAGCUAAAUAAAAGAGAAAAACAAAUCGCAACGCUUCAAUAUCUCUCUCCCAAUCGUUUGAAUCAGUCUUCCUCAUCACAAUCCCCCAAAGAUCCACCACACAUGCUACUAUGAGCCUCCGCCACCGCACCGUCCCCUCUCAACCCGGACGGCCCCCGGCGGCGGGCGCAAUCGACGACGAGCCCUACAACAUCAUCCCCGUCAACAACCUCCUCGCCGACCACCCCUCCCUCCGCUACCCCGAGGUCCGCGCCGCCGCCGCCGCCCUCAAAACCGGCGGCGACCUCCGCCGCCCCACCUACGUCCAAUGGCGCCCCCACUACGACCUCCUCGACUGGCUCGCCCUCUUCUUCGGCUUCCAGAAGGACAACGUCCGCAACCAGCGCGAGCACCUCGUCCUCCACCUCGCCAACGCCCAGAUGCGCCUCACGCCGCCGCCGGAUAACAUCGAUUCCCUCGAUCCCGCCGUCGUCCGCCGUUUCCGCCGCAAGCUCCUCGGUAACUACUCGAGCUGGUGCUCGUACCUCGGGAGGAAGUCGAACAUCUGGAUCUCGGAUCGGAACCCCGAUUCGAGGCGGGAGCUUCUCUACGUCGGCCUCUACCUCCUCGUGUGGGGGGAGGCGGCGAAUCUUAGGUUUAUGCCGGAGUGUGUCUGUUACAUCUUCCACAAUAUGGCCUCGGAGCUUAACAAGAUCCUCGAGGAUUGCCUCGACGAGAGCACGGGGCAGCCGUACUCUCCUAGAAUCACGGGGGAGAAUAGUUUCCUAAACGGCGUCGUUAAACCUAUUUACGAGACGAUCAAAGCUGAGAUUAACGAGAGCAAGAACGGGACGGAGCCGCAUUGUAAGUGGAGGAACUAUGAUGAUAUUAAUGAAUACUUUUGGACGGAUAGGUGUUUUAGUAAAUUGAAAUGGCCGAUUGAUUUGGGGAGCAGUUUCUUCAAGAGUAGUAGAGGGAGAGGCGUUGGGAAGACAGGUUUUGUGGAGAGGAGGACGUUCUUUUACCUCUACAGGAGCUUUGAUAGGCUUUGGGUGAUGCUUGCUUUGUUUCUUCAAGCUGCUAUUAUAGUCGCUUGGGAGGAGAAGCCGGGUGGAGGGUCGGUGAGGAGUCAGCUCUGGAAUGCGUUGAAGUCGAGGGAUGUUCGGGUGAGGCUUUUGACUGUGUUCUUGACGUGGAGUGGGAUGAGAUUACUGCAGGCUGUGCUGGACGCUGCCUCGCAACGGCCGCUUAUUUCUAGAGAGACCAAGCGGCUGUUUUUCAGAAUGUUGAUGAAGGUUGUAGCUGCUACGGUUUGGAUAAUUGCUUUUAUUGUUCUCUACACGAACAUCUGGAAGCAGAGGAAGCAAGACAGGCAGUGGUCCAGAGCCGCGAAUGACAAGAUCUAUCAGUUCCUUUACGCUGUGGUGGCUUUCUUGGUCCCUGAGAUCCUGGCUUUGGCUCUGUUUAUAGUCCCGUGGAUAAGGAACUUUCUGGAAGAGACCAAUUGGAAGAUAUUCUUUGCUUUGACUUGGUGGUUCCAGGGUAAAAGCUUUGUGGGUCGAGGUUUGAGAGAGGGGUUGGUGGACAACAUCAAGUACUCGACUUUCUGGAUCUUUGUCCUAGCAACGAAGUUCACGUUCAGCUACUUCCUGCAGGUUAAGCCAAUGAUUAAACCCUCGAAGCUGCUAUGGAAUUUGAAGGAGGUGGAUUAUGAGUGGCAUCAGUUCUUUGGCGAGAGCAAUAGGUUUUCUGUCUUGUUAUUGUGGCUGCCAGUGGUGUUGAUAUACCUGAUGGAUAUCCAAAUUUGGUACGCGAUCUAUUCUUCGAUUGUUGGUGCUGUUGUUGGGCUGUUUGAUCAUCUGGGGGAGAUCAGGGACAUGGGACAGCUUAGGCUGAGGUUUCAGUUCUUUGCUAGCGCUAUUCAGUUCAACCUAAUGCCUGAGGAACAACUCCUGAAUGCUAGAGGAUUUGGUAACAAGCUUAAGGACGCCAUUCAUAGGUAAGUCUAUUGAAGCAUGUUACUGAUAUUCCUUUAUAAUUUACUGUACAGAGUUUGUCUUUACGGUACAAGUUAUGGAAUUUUAGUUUUGUUAAAGCAGAUUCUCUUAACUCGGCUUUUCAACAUUGUAAUAACCUUGAGUUUGUGUACUUUAUGCAGAUUGAAGCUGAGGUAUGGACUUGGGCGGCCAUUUAAGAAACUCGAGUCUAAUCAGGUUGAGGCUAACAAGUUUGCGCUGAUCUGGAAUGAGAUAAUCUUAGCUUUCAGAGAAGAGGAUAUAGUCUCUGAUCGAGAAGUAGAGCUACUGGAGCUGCCAAAAAAUUCCUGGAAUGUGACAGUUAUCCGCUGGCCGUGUUUCCUGUUGUGCAACGAGCUUUUGCUUGCACUGAGCCAGGCGAAAGAGCUGGUUGACGCACCUGAUAAAUGGCUGUGGCACAAGAUAUGCAAGAACGAGUACAGGCGGUGUGCUGUGGUUGAGGCAUAUGAAAGCAUCAAACAUCUGUUGCUCUCAAUCAUCAAAAUUGACACCGAAGAACAUAAAAUUAUUACAAUUUUCUUUCAGAUGAUUGAGGUGUCUAUUCAGGGUGAGCAGUUCACCAAGACCUUCAAAGUGGACCUAUUGCCAAAGAUUUAUGAGACGCUACAGAAGUUGGUUGGGCUGUUGAAUGAUGAGAAAGUGGAUGUUGGGCGAGUGGUGAAUGGUCUGCAGUCUAUUUAUGAGAUUGCAACACGACAGUUCUUCAUAGAAAAGAAGACGACUGAACAGCUAUCUACCGAGGGGUUAACUCCUCAUGAUCCAGCCUCAAAGUUACUGUUUCAGAAUGCUGUUAGGCUUCCCGAUGCAAGCAAUGAAGACUUCUUCCGGCAGGUUAGGCGGUUACACACAAUUCUCACUUCUAGGGACUCUAUGCACAGCGUCCCUGUGAAUCUAGAGGCGAGACGGCGGAUUGCCUUCUUCAGCAAUUCGCUCUUCAUGAACUUGCCUCAUGCACCUCAGGUGGAGAAAAUGUUGGCGUUCAGUGUUAUGACUCCAUACUACAGCGAGGAAGUUGUAUACAGUAAAGAACAGCUCCGAAAUGAGACUGAGGAUGGGAUUUCAACCUUGUAUUACCUGCAGACGAUUUAUGCCGACGAAUGGAAAAAUUUUAAGGAACGGAUGCGUAGGGAAGGUAUAAAGACAGAUGUUGAGUUGUGGACAACCAAGCUGAGAGAGCUCAGGCUUUGGGCUUCCUACAGAGGUCAGACUUUGGCACGUAC